CUUUAAUUAAAAUGAGCUCGUAAGAGUUGGCGAUUAAAUGCGAGCGAGUUUUUGCAAUUAUGCUGGCCUCAAGUGGGCUGAUCUCACUGCCACUGGCCGCUACUCGAGUUAGUGUUAGUUUUGUGUGGGCAGUUUCGUCUCUCAGGGAAAUACCAGGCGAAGGCAGGCAUGACAAUGCCAAUGGCGAUGAUUCCAGAAUCAUUAUAACAGCAUACAGAUCGCGCUGUUAAUUCUAGCUACCUCUUAUAGUGAGCAUGACAAGCCAAACUUCUAGGGCCCUCUAUAUAUAAACGC